rnacentral:rRNA from 1 species
GUAGUCAUAUGCUUGUCUCAAAGAUUAAGCCAUGCAUGUCUAAGUAUAAGCAAUUAUACAGCGAAACUGCGAAUGGCUCAUUAUAUAAGUUAUCGUUUAUUUGAUAGUACCUUACUACUUGGAUAACCGUGGUAAUUCUAGAGCUAAUACAUGCUGAAAAUCCCGACUCCGGAAGGGAUGUAUUUAUUAGAUUCAAAGCCAACGCCCUCUGGGCUCACUGGUGAUUCAUGAUAACUCCUCGAAUCGCACGGCCUUGCGCCGGCGAUGGUUCAUUCAAAUUUCUUCCCUAUCAACUUUCGAUGUUUGGGUAGUGGCCAAACAUGGUUGCAACGGGUAACGGAGGGUUAGGGCUCGACCCCGGAGAAGGAGCCUGAGAAACGGCUACUACAUCCAAGGAAGGCAGCAGGCGCGCAAAUUACCCAAUCCCGACACGGGGAGGUAGUGACAAUAAAUACCGAUACAGGGCUCUUUUGGGUCCUGUAAUUGGAAUGAGUACAAUUUAAAUCCCUUAACGAGGAACAAUUGGAGGGCAAGUCUGGUGCCAGCAGCCGCGGUAAUUCCAGCUCCAAUAGCGUAUAUUAAAGUUGUUGUGGUUAAAAAGCUCGUAGUUGAACCUUGGGCCUGGCUGGCCGGUCCGCCUCACCGCGUGUACUGGUCCGGCCGGGCCUUUCCCUCUGUGGAACCCCAUGCCCUUCACUGGGCGUGGCGGGGAAACAGGACUUUUACUUUGAAAAAAUUAGAGUGCUCCAGGCAGGCCUAUGCUCGAAUACAUUAGCAUGGAAUAAUGAAAUAGGACGCGCGGUUCUAUUUUGUUGGUUUCUAGGACCGCCGUAAUGAUUAAUAGGGACAGUCGGGGGCAUCAGUAUUCAAUGGUCAGAGGUGAAAUUCUUGGAUCCAUUGAAGACUAACUACUGCGAAAGCAUUUGUCAAGGAUGUUUUCAUUAAUCAGGAACGAAAGUUAGGGGAUCGAAGACGAUCAGAUACCGUCGUAGUCUUAACCAUAAACUAUGCCGACUAGGGAUCGGACGAUGUUAUUUUUUGACUCGUUCGGCACCUUACGAGAAAUCAAAGUGCUUGGGCUCCAGGGGGAGUAUGGUCGCAAGGCUGAAACUUAAAGAAAUUGACGGAAG